rnacentral:lncRNA from 1 species
AAGAAUGGCUAGGAUCAAGAAAAUGACCGAAGCCAUUUUACUACUACUAGAGAGAGUAAAACGCAUAUGAAAAGUAUUGCUAUAAGUGUUUGUUUAGGUUUAAAUGACUUUGUUGCCAAGAAACGAGUAUGAAAAGCUGGUCUUAUAUAGAGAUUCCGAAGCGUGUAUACGUAAUUAUGUAGUAAACAUGUUUUAUGUCGUACGAGGGUUUUUGAUAAAUUAUUUACACGCUACGAAUUGAAGUCAAAUAAAUGGUCAAUAAUCAUAUUACUUAUAUUUUCC